rnacentral:sRNA from 1 species
GCAGCUGUUGCUGUUGGAGUAGCUGUUGUUGAAACUGCUGCUGUUGCAAGUGCUGUUGCUGUUGCUGCUGCUGCUGCUGCUGCUGCUGCUGUU